CAACCCCGUCUCAGGCCGCUCCUAUACCACCCACCCCCGAUCUAGAUCGAUCGAGAUCCCCCUUCCACCUCCUCUCCUCUACCGUCCACCCCCUGGUUCGUCCCCUCGCUCGACCCCUCGCUCGCCAUGGCCGCCUCGCUUGACCCCUCGAUCGCCACCGCAGCCACCAAGCCGCGCCUCGCCGCUCCCCCGCCGUCCUCCGCCGCGGCCACGGGCGGGCUGCGCCGCGGUGCCGUCCUCCAGCGGGGACGGCAGCGGCGCGGCAGGUUCUCGUGCUGCACGGGGUCCGCCGCCUCGGAGAUGUAUGUAAUGCCUCCUUGCCUCUCUUUUUUCCCCCUCUCCUAAUCUGUCAGUGUAAUUUUGUGAGGCCCUCAUCUCUGUGGAUGGGAAUGGGAUGGGGGACGGAAUCCUCCUCUUCUUCUUAUGGAAGUCCCUUGUAGUAGCUGUAUAAUGAUGAUUGCACUAGGUUGGUUGAUCACGCCUCAUGAUUGGGAGGCCCAUCACCAUCACCAUCACUUUCCUAGCUGAACAAUGAUGGUUGCGCUCUGCAGCCGUAGGCCGGGAGCCCGCAUCAGUAUUGAACAAACAUGUGCCACUGCCAAUGGCGCCGGAAGCGCAUAGAGGUAUACCGCAGCUAAUGAUAGCCCAGGUGAGAGGCCUACUAAGUCCCCAGCUUCCUACUGGUCAAUGCAUCUUUGGUUUUGUUUUAAUGGAGUUCUAUUCAGCUUGUGUAAUCAAACUGUUAGUCCCAAAAACAGUUUACUGAAACUGCUGCCACUCUGGUUCAGUUAAGACUUGGGAGUCUGAACUGUUGUGUUAGACAUAAGUAGAAGUACACCUGCAAACUAAUUAGUUGUUGGGAGAAAAACAUUUUAUAAACACGUAUUCACACUCAACCUUGAUUAGGAAAUUAUUGGUUUUGAACUGUCCAUGAUUUAGAUGAAUCCAGGUCUUCAAUUUAAUCUAUAUGCCGCUAGUAGGAAACUUUGGAACUUGAAAACCCAAAUCUGUUUUAGUCCUCCUAGUUUAGCCUAUUCUAAUAGUUUUGAGUAAGUUCUUGGGGAUGAGUCUAUAAGUCUGUUCAGUGUUCAGCUCUACUUGAUUGUAAUUCAUUUGCUCUAGCUUUCACAAAAAACUAAUUAUCUGGUACACUUUAGAACUAUCCUGUGAACAUUGAUUGGCUGCAGAUGAGCCAUGUGUCUCAGAAGUCUGAAGGAUUGUUCAUCAUAGAAAUGUUCAGUUGAUAGAUUUAUGAGUUGUCCUGAAUUCGGCGUCCAUGACCAAACCCAGUUCCUAGUAGGGAACACAUGGACAUGAAGCUGCAGCGGCGACGACGAUAUUGACAUGGGGCUGCGGCGGCGACAACGACAACGACGACAUCAGAACGGUGCUGCUGCGGCGGCGACGAUGACAACAUCUUCACGGUGCUGCGACGACGAUGACAUCAACGCGGGCUUGAGGAGUCGCCGACGCCGACGACCUAUACGCGUGGUGUAUAUUGUGUAUAUAUAUGUAUAUAUAUAUAUAUGUGUGUGUGUGUGUGUGUGUGUGUGUGUGUAUUAAUUAUCUAUAUCGGUAUGUAUGAUUGAUUGUAUGCAUAAGAUGUACAUAUUAUGAAAUGCAUGUAUGUGAGUACUAUGAAAUGUA